rnacentral:rRNA from 1 species
AGGGCGCACGGUGGAUGCCUUGGCACUAGAAGCCGAUGAAGGACGUUACUAACGACGAUAUGCUUUGGGGAGCUGUAAGUAAGCUUUGAUCCAGAGAUUUCCGAAUGGGGAAACCCAGCAUGAGUUAUGUCAUGUUAUCGAUAUGUGAAUACAUAGCAUAUCAGAAGGCACACCCGGAGAACUGAAACAUCUUAGUACCCGGAGGAAGAGAAAGAAAAUUCGAUUCCCUUAGUAGCGGCGAGCGAAACGGGAAGAGCCCAAACCAACAAGCUUGCUUGUUGGGGUUGUAGGACACUCUAUACGGAGUUACAAAGGACGACAUUAGACGAAUCAUCUGGAAAGAUGAAUCAAAGAAGGUAAUAAUCCUGUAGUCGAAAAUGUUGUCUCUCUUGAGUGGAUCCUGAGUACGACGGAGCACGUGAAAUUCCGUCGGAAUCUGGGAGGACCAUCUCCUAAGGCUAAAUACUCUCUAGUGACCGAUAGUGAACCAGUACCGUGAGGGAAAGGUGAAAAGCACCCCGGAAGGGGAGUGAAAUAGAACCUGAAACCGUGUGCUUACAAGUAGUCAGAGCCCGUUAAUGGGUGAUGGCGUGCCUUUUGUAGAAUGAACCGGCGAGUUACGAUUUGAUGCAAGGUUAAGCAGUAAAUGUGGAGCCGUAGCGAAAGCGAGUCUGAAUAGGGCGUUUAGUAUUUGGUCGUAGACCCGAAACCAGGUGAUCUACCCUUGGUCAGGUUGAAGUUCAGGUAACACUGAAUGGAGGACCGAACCGACUUACGUUGAAAAGUGAGCGGAUGAACUGAGGGUAGCGGAGAAAUUCCAAUCGAACCUGGAGAUAGCUGGUUCUCUCCGAAAUAGCUUUAGGGCUAGCCUCAAGUGAUGAUUAUUGGAGGUAGAGCACUGUUUGGACGAGGGGCCCCUCUCGGGUUACCGAAUUCAGACAAACUCCGAAUGCCAAUUAAUUUAACUUGGGAGUCAGAACAUGGGUGAUAAGGUCCGUGUUCGAAAGGGAAACAGCCCAGACCACCAGCUAAGGUCCCAAAAUAUAUGUUAAGUGGAAAAGGAUGUGGCGUUGCCCAGACAACUAGGAUGUUGGCUUAGAAGCAGCCAUCAUUUAAAGAGUGCGUAAUAGCUCACUAGUCGAGUGACACUGCGCCGAAAAUGUACCGGGGCUAAACAUAUUACCGAAGCUGUGGAUUGUCCUUUGGACAAUGGUAGGAGAGCGUUCUAAGGGCGUUGAAGCAUGAUCGUAAGGACAUGUGGAGCGCUUAGAAGUGAGAAUGCCGGUGUGAGUAGCGAAAGACGGGUGAGAAUCCCGUCCACCGAUUGACUAAGGUUUCCAGAGGAAGGCUCGUCCGCUCUGGGUUAGUCGGGUCCUAAGCUGAGGCCGACAGGCGUAGGCGAUGGAUAACAGGUUGAUAUUCCUGUACCACCUAUAAUCGUUUUAAUCGAUGGGGGGGACGCAGUAGGAUAGGCGAAGCGUGCGAUUGGAUUGCACGUCUAAGCAGUAAGGCUGAGUAUUAGGCAAAUCCGGUACUCAUUAAGGCUGAGCUGUGAUGGGGAGAAGACAUUGUGUCUUCGAGUCGUUGAUUUCACACUGCCGAGAAAAGCCUCUAGAUAGAAAAUAGGUGCCCGUACCGCAAACCGACACAGGUAGUCAAGAUGAGAAUUCUAAGGUGAGCGAGCGAACUCUCGUUAAGGAACUCGGCAAAAUGACCCCGUAACUUCGGGAGAAGGGGUGCUCUUUAGGGUUAACGCCCAGAAGAGCCGCAGUGAAUAGGCCCAAGCGACUGUUUAUCAAAAACACAGGUCUCUGCUAAACCGUAAGGUGAUGUAUAGGGGCUGACGCCUGCCCGGUGCUGGAAGGUUAAGAGGAGUGGUUAGCUUCUGCGAAGCUACGAAUCGAAGCCCCAGUAAACGGCGGCCGUAACUAUAACGGUCCUAAGGUAGCGAAAUUCCUUGUCGGGUAAGUUCCGACCCGCACGAAAGGCGUAACGAUUUGGGCACUGUCUCAACGAGAGACUCGGUGAAAUCAUAGUACCUGUGAAGAUGCAGGUUACCCGCGACAGGACGGAAAGACCCCGUGGAGCUUUACUGUAGCCUGAUAUUGAAAUUCGGCACAGCUUGUACAGGAUAGGUAGGAGCCUUUGAAACGUGAGCGCUAGCUUACGUGGAGGCGCUGGUGGGAUACUACCCUAGCUGUGUUGGCUUUCUAACCCGCACCACUUAUCGUGGUGGGAGACAGUGUCAGGCGGGCAGUUUGACUGGGGCGGUCGCCUCCUAAAAGGUAACGGAGGCGCUCAAAGGUUCCUCAGAAUGGUUGGAAAUCAUUCAUAGAGUGUAAAGGCAUAAGGGAGCUUGACUGCGAGACCUACAAGUCGAGCAGGGUCGAAAGACGGACUUAGUGAUCCGGUGGUUCCGCAUGGAAGGGCCAUCGCUCAACGGAUAAAAGCUACCCCGGGGAUAACAGGCUUAUCUCCCCAAGAGUUCACAUCGACGGGGAGGUUUGGCACCUCGAUGUCGGCUCAUCGCAUCCUGGGGGCUGUAGUCGGUCCCAAGGGUUGGGCUGUUCGCCCAUUAAAGCGGUACGCGAGCUGGGUUCAGAACGUCGUGAGACAGUUCGGUCCUAUCCGUCGUGGGCGUAGGAAAUUUGAGAGGAGCUGUCCUUAGUACGAGAGGACCGGGAUGGACAUACCUCUGGUGUACCAGUUGUCGUGCCAACGGCAUAGCUGGGUAGCUAUGUGUGGACGGGAUAAGUGCUGAAAGCAUCUAAGCAUGAAGCCCCCUCAAGAUGAGAUUUCCCAACUUCGGUUAU